rnacentral:rRNA from 1 species
UACGAAGGUGGCAAGCGUUGUUCGGAAUCACUGGGCAUAAAGCGCGUGUAGGCGGCUGGGUAAGUCGGGUGUGAAAUCCCUCAGCUCAACUGAGGAACUGCACGGGAAACUGACGGGCUUGAGUUCGGGAGAGGGAAGCGGAAUUCCGGGUGUAGCGGUGAAAUGCGUAGAUAUCCGGAGGAACACCGGUGGCGAAGGCGGCAUCCUGGACCGGCAUUGACGCUGAGGAGCGAAAGCCAGGGGAGCAAAGCGGG